rnacentral:rRNA from 1 species
CGAACUGUGCAAACGUUAUUCGGAAUCACUGGGCUUGAAGAGUGCGUAGGCGGUUUCGUAAGUAGGGUGUGAAAGCCCCCGGCCCAACCGGGGAACUGCGCCCUAAACUGCGAGGCUGGAGUGAGGUAGGGGUGUGUGGAACUUCCAGUGGAGCGGUGAAAUGUGUUGAUAUUGGAAGGAACGCCGGUGGCGAAAGCGACACACUGGACCUUGUCUGACGCUGAGGCACGAAAGCCAGGGGAGCAAACGGGAUUAGAUACCCCGGUAGUCCUGGCCGUAAACUAUGAGUACUAGUGGGGAGGGAGCAAUCCCUUCCUCACGGAGCGAAAGUUUUAAGUACUCCGCCUGGGGAGUAUGGUCGCAAGGCUG